UGGGGAAUAUUGCACAAUGGGCGCAAGCCUGAUGCAGCCAUGCCGCGUGUAUGAAGAAGGCCUUCGGGUUGUAAAGUACUUUCAGCGAGGAGGAAGGCGUUGUGGUUAAUAACCGCAACGAUUGACGUUACUCGCAGAAGAAGCACCGGCUAACUCCGUGCCAGCAGCCGCGGUAAUACGGAGGGUGCAAGCGUUAAUCGGAAUUACUGGGUGUAAAGCGCACGCAGGCGGUCUGUCAAGUCGGAUGUGAAAUCCCCGGGCUCAACCUGGGAACUGCAUCCGAAACUGGCAGGCUAGAGUCUUGUAGAGGGGGGUAGAAUUCCAGGUGUAGCGGUGAAAUGCGUAGAGAUCUGGAGGAAUACCGGUGGCGAAGGCGGCCCCCUGGACAAAGACUGACGCUCAGGUGCGAAAGCGUGGGGAGCAAACA
rnacentral:rRNA from 1 species